GGAAGAAGAUAUAAGAAAAUAGGUGAACAUUUAUAUCUAAUGUUAGAAAAAGAAGAAUUAAAAUUAGAAGAUAAAUUGACAGCAAUGGUAAGAAUAGAAAGAGAAAAUGAAGAAAUAGAUAGGAAAAAGGAAAUAGAAAAAAUAAAACAACAAACUACGAAAGAAAUACGAAAAAUAGAAGAAACUAAAAAUAGUAGGAUUGCUAAAUUAGAAAAAGAACUACAAAUGUUAAAAGAUCUGUAUGAACAAAGACAAAAAGAAAAAGAAGAAAAAGAUAGAGAACAAAAAUUACUAAACGA
rnacentral:lncRNA from 1 species